AUUGAACGCUGGCGGCAGGCCUAACACAUGCAAGUCGAACGGUAGCACAGAGAGCUUGCUCUCGGGUGACGAGUGGCGGACGGGUGAGUAACGUCUGGGAAACUGCCCGAUGGAGGGGGAUAACUACUGGAAACGGUAGCUAAUACCGCAUAACGUCGCAAGACCAAAGUGGGGGACCUUCGGGCCCCCCACCAUCGGAUGUGCCCAGAUGGGAUUAGCUAGUAGGUGGGGUAAUGGCUCACCUAGGCGACGAUCCCUAGCUGGUCUGAGAGGAUGACCAGCCACACUGGAACUGAGACACGGUCCAGACUCCUACGGGAGGCAGCAGUGGGGAAUAUUGCACAAUGGGCGCAAGCCUGAUGCAGCCAUGCCGCGUGUAUGAAGAAGGCCUUCGGGUUGUAAAGUACUUUCAGCGGGGAGGAAGGCGGUGAAGUUAAUAGCUUCACCGAUUGACGUUACCCGCAGAAGAAGCACCGGCUAACUCCGUGCCAGCCGCCGCGGUAA
rnacentral:rRNA from 1 species